GCGGCUGCUUGAAAUCACGAGUUCACGGGUCGUUCGCCCUGCGGUUCGACAAGUUCCGUAGGGGUGACCUGCGGAAGGAUCAUUG
rnacentral:rRNA from 1 species